GUAGGUAACCUGCCUUGUAGCGGGGGAUAACUAUUGGAAACGAUAGCUAAUACCGCAUAACAAUGGAUGACACAUGUCAUUUAUUUGAAAGGAGCAAUUGCUCCACUACAAGAUGGACCUGCGUUGUAUUAGCUAGUAGGUGAGGUAAUGGCUCACCUAGGCGACGAUACAUAGCCGACCUGAGAGGGUGAUCGGCCACACUGGGACUGAGACACGGCCCAGACUCCUACGGGAGGCAGCAUG
rnacentral:rRNA from 1 species